AGUAGAAUUGCUGGAUUAUAUGAUAUCCUCUUAUUUUUUGAGGAAACUCCAUGCUCUUUUUCAAAUAGGUGUACUCAUUUACAUCCCCACCAACAGU
rnacentral:pre_miRNA from 1 species